ACGCUGGCGGCAUGCUUUACACAUGCAAGUCGGACGGCAGCACAGAGAAGCUUGCUUCUUGGGUGGCGAGCGGCGAACGGGUGAGUAAUAUAUCGGAACGUACCGAGUAAUGGGGGAUAACUAAUCGAAAGAUUAGCUAAUACCGCAUAUUCUCUGAGGAGGAAAGCAGGGGACCUUCGGGCCUUGCGUUAUUCGAGCGGCCGAUAUCUGAUUAGCUAGUUGGUGGGGUAAAGGCCUACCAAGGCGACGAUCAGUAGCGGGUCUGAGAGGAUGAUCCGCCACACUGGGACUGAGACACGGCCCAGACUCCUACGGGAGGCAGCAGUGGGGAAUUUUGGACAAUGGGCGCAAGCCUGAUCCAGCCAUGCCGCGUGUCUGAAGAAGGCCUUCGGGUUGUAAAGGACUGUUGUCAGGGAAGAAAAGGCUGUUGCUAAUACCGACAGCUGAUGACGGUACCUGAAGAAUAAGCACCGGCUAACUACGUGCCAGCAGCCGCGGUAAUACGUAGGGUGCGAGCGUUAAUCGGAAUUACUGGGCGUAAAGCGAGCGCAGACGGUUACUUAAGCAGGAUGUGAAAUCCCCGGGCUCAACCUGGGAACUGCGUUCUGAACUGGGUGACUAGAGUGUGUCAGAGGGAGGUAGAAUUCCACGUGUAGCAGUGAAAUGCGUAGAGAUGUGGAGGAAUACCGAUGGCGAAGGCAGCCUCCUGGGAUAACACUGACGUUCAUGCCCGAAAGCGUGGGUAGCAAACAGGAUUAGAUACCCUGGUAGUCCACGCCCUAAACGAUGUCAAUUAGCUGUUGGGCAACUUGAUUGCUUAGUAGCGUAGCUAACGCGUGAAAUUGACCGCCUGGGGAGUACGGUCGCAAGAUUAAAACUCAAAGGAAUUGACGGGGACCCGCACAAGCGGUGGAUGAUGUGGAU
rnacentral:rRNA from 1 species